UACGUAGGGUGCGAGCAUUGUCCGGAAUUAUUGGGCGUAAAGAGCUCGUAGGCGGUCUGUCGCGUCGGUCGUGAAAACUUGGGGCUUAACCCUGAGCUUGCGGUCGAUACGGGCAUGACUGGAGUUCGGCAGGGGAGACUGGAAUUCCUGGUGUAGCGGUGAAAUGCGCAGAUAUCAGGAGGAACACCGGUGGCGAAGGCGGGUCUCUGGGCCGAUACUGACGCUGAGGAGCGAAAGCGUGGGGAGCGAACAGG
rnacentral:rRNA from 1 species